UACGAGGGGGGGCGAGCGUUGUUCGGAAUUAUUGGGCGUAAAGGGUGCGUAGGCGGUUCCGCAAGUCCUGUGUGAAAUCUUCGGGCUCAACUCGAAGUCUGCACGGGAAACUGCGGGGCUUGAGUGUGGGAGAGGUGAGUGGAAUUUCCGGUGUAGCGGUGAAAUGCGUAGAUAUCGGAAGGAACACCUGUGGCGAAAGCGGCUCACUGGACCAUUACUGACGCUGAUGCACGAAAGCUAGGGGAGCAAACAGG
rnacentral:rRNA from 1 species